GUGCCAGCAGCCGCGGUAAUACGUAGGGUGCGAGCGUUAAUCGGAAUUACUGGGCGUAAAGCGUGCGCAGGCGGUUUGCUAAGACCGAUGUGAAAUCCCCGGGCUCAACCCUGGAACUGCAUUGGUGACUGGCANGCUAGAGUAUGGCAGAAGGGGGUAGAAUUCCACGUGUAGCAGUGAAAUGCGUAGAGAUGUGGAGGAAUACCGAUGGCGAAAGCACCCCCCUGGGCCAAUAUUGCCGGUUCAUCCAGGAAAGCGGGGGAGGCAAACAGGAUUGAAUACCUUGUAGUCC
rnacentral:rRNA from 1 species